CCGUUGACAUACUAAGAACUUUCCAGAGAUGGAUUGGUGCCUUCGGGAACUUAGAUACAGGUGCUGCAUGGCUGUCGUCAGCUCGUGUCGUGAGAUGCUGGGUUAAGUCCCGCAACGAGCGCAACCUUUUCCUUAUUUGCCAGCGGGUCAUGCCGGGAACUUUAAGGAUACUGCCAGUGACAAACUGGAGGAAGGCGGGGACGACGUCAAGUCAUCAUGGCCCUUACGGCCAGGGCUACACACGUGCUACAAUGGUCGGUACAAAGGGUUGCUACCUCGCGAGAGGAUGCUAAUCUCAAAAAGCCGAUCGUAGUCCGGAUCGCAGUCUGCAACUCGACUGCGUGAAGUCGGAAUCGCUAGUAAUCGCGGAUCAGAAUGCCGCGGUGAAUACGUUCCCGGGCCUUGUACACACCGCCCGUCACACCAUGGGAGUUUGUUGCACCAGAAGUAGGUAGUCUAACCGCAAGGAGGACGCUUACCACGGUGUGGCCGAUGACUGGGGUGAAGUCGUAACAAGGUAAGCGUAGAUGA
rnacentral:rRNA from 1 species